UGCCACACCUUUAAUAUCUUACUGAGAAGAUUUUUUUUUCCUUUCUUGAUCAAAUGAAAAUGGUGUAACUAUGUGCAAAAUAUAAAUGAAGUAACUGAAUGUAGUGUAAUUAAAAAUAAAACAAAAGUCAGAGGUAUGGUAAUGAGUUAAUGAAUGCAUCUAAUCGCAAACGUCAAUUCAGGAAAAAAAGAAACAUGGAUCUGUCUUCAUUUAUAUGCAAAAUAUAAUUCUGACCUAGAGGUUUGCAUGCCACAAUGUACUGCUAUGUGGAACAAAGCAGGGCUAUAACACCCAAGACAUCUGGAAUCUGGACCAAGUAUACCAUCAUACAGCAAUUCAGAGAAUUAAGUUAUCAUACAGGUACUAUGGCAACAUGACUUUCCUCUUAGACAGAGGCAGAAGUGGCAAGUUGUCCCAUGAUGCUAUCUGGGAGCAGGUGGUGGACAAUGAUAAUGAGGCCAGAUGACACGGCUUUGCUUAUCAAAAAAUCAGACAUUCAGCCAGUGAUAUGAUAAAUGCAAAACAUAGGUCAGCUGCAAUUGCCCAGGAAUUAAUGGGUACUGUGUGUGCUCCUGUUACUGAACAACCAUUGACUGAUACAGAAGAGUUCCUGUACACUGUCAGAGAUACAGACAUCUCAGCACAGGGUUCACACAGAAUCAUUGAUGUCAGUGCUAACAUGCCGGACAAUCCAACUGUAUCUGCUUCUGAUUUUGCACAACCACCUGCACAUGGUAAG